rnacentral:tRNA from 1 species
GGGCCUGUAGCUCAGCAUGGUAGAGCAGCUGGCUUUUAACCAGUUGGCCGUGGGUUCAAAUCCCUCCGGGCCCA